CAGUCGCCACGGGAAUACGGAGGGUGCAAGCGUUAAUCGGAAUUACUGGGCGUAAAGCGCACGCAGGCGGUCUGUCAAGUCAGAUGUGAAAUCCCCGGGCUUAACCUGGGAACUGCAUUUGAAACUGGCAGGCUAGAGUCUUGUAGAGGGGGGUAGAAUUCCAGGUGUAGCGGUGAAAUGCGUAGAGAUCUGGAGGAAUACCGGUGGCGAAGGCGGCCCCCUGGACAAAGACUGACGCUCAGGUGCGAAAGCGUGGGGAGCAAACAGGAUUAGAUACCCGAGUAGUCCCUGUCUCUUAUAC
rnacentral:rRNA from 1 species